UCCAUCAGAAUGCCCGCUUUGGCCAGUGAGCCCCCCAGAGCCAUUUUCAGAGACUCCACGGAUCCCUUAAUGAAGCCACACAAAGACACGCAUCACAGCUGGAUAACGUCAGACCGACGCAGGUCACGCAGGACCCUGUCACUGUCUGCCGAUUGGCAGUAAAAGGCACACAGGCAUGGAGAAGCAGAGGUGAAGAGCAGAGAAGGCAGGAAACACCAUCUACCCCACAGUGACGCCAACCAGACGAUGGGACCCAGGAGAGUCCAACGGAGCAAAUGUAACAGAAGCAUUGUCUGAGAAGGCUGCCCUUCAACCAUAAAUAUCAGCUGGAAUGCAGCUAAAGAUGCUCAAAUCAACCGGAGUAUAUAGUUACACACAAAAAAAUAAGGCACUGGUUCCAGAAACUGUGUUUCCUGUCCAGCUGCAUAGCAAACACAAUUAUUUGAAGCAUUUUGGGGAAAGAGCCACAGGAGAGAUGAAGGCCUCAAGACUGAAAGGCUGAUGGGCACACUGCUUCUGCCGACGUAAGCAGGCAGGUCGUGGGUCUGCAGCUCUGAUGGACGCCCUUUCACUCCUUUCACUACAGUAUCUGCACCUGAUCUGAGUCAUCAGCAAACAUGCAUCUGAAGCUGAUUUUCAUUAAGGCCCUAAUAAAUUAAAUCAAAAAUCAUUAUUGAAUGCACUGCUUGAAAAUCCUCUAUAUGAUUAUCAAUAUUAAAGCAUUUUGUUUUA